rnacentral:rRNA from 1 species
UACGGAGGGGGCAAGCGUUAUUCGGAAUUACUGGGCGUAAAGGGCACGCAGGCGGCUUAGUAGGUCAAAGGUGAAAUCCCUCGGCUCAACCGAGGAACUGCCUUUGAAACCACUUGGCUAGAGGCUGGGAGAGGAUAGUGGAAUUCCUGGUGUAGCGGUGAAAUGCGUAGAUAUCAGGAGGAACACCGGUGGCGAAGGCGGCUAUCUGGACCAGUUCUGACGCUGAGGUGCGAAAGCGUGGGUAGCAAAC